rnacentral:rRNA from 1 species
GAUUUCUGGACUGAAGCAUUUAGCCGGCCGCGGUUUCGCGUGUUAGUGCUGGAUGCUCUGUCCAUCCUUCCAAUCGCUAUUGGCUAUUCUUCAUUGAAUGGUCCGUAGUAUUGGAUCUUUUACUUUGAAAAAAUUAGAGUGUUUCAAGCAGGCUUUAUGCUAUGAAUACAUUAGCAUGGAAUAAUAAUUUAGGACUUCGGUUCUAUUUUGUUGGUUUCUAGGACUGAAGUAAUGAUUGAUAGGGACAGUUGGGGGUGCUAGUAUUCAGCGGCCAGAGGUGAAAUUCUUGGAUUCGCUGAAGACUAACUUAUGCGAAAGCAUU